UUAGCAAUAUAAGUGAUGGCGACCGGCGCACGGGUGAGUAACACGUAUCCAACCUGCCGAUAACUCGGGGAUAGCCUUUCGAAAGAAAGAUUAAUACCCGAUGGUAUAAUAAAACCGCAUGGUUUUACUAUUAAAGAAUUUCGGUUAUCGAUGGGGAUGCGUUCCAUUAGUUUGUUGGCGGGGUAACGGCCCACCAAGACUACGAUGGAUAGGGGUUCUGAGAGGAAGGUCCCCCACAUUGGAACUGAGACACGGUCCAA
rnacentral:rRNA from 1 species